AUGUUGAGGCUAAUUCCCCUGCAGCAAGAUAGGCGGCAACAGUGGUGGAUGAGCAGGCACAAGCAGAUCAGCAAAGCGGAUAAGAAGGGCUUUGAUUCUUUCGUGAUGUUGAUUUGCUGGACGUUAUGGAAGCAAAGGAACGCUAGGGUAUUCCAGUUAGGUGUGAUCGCGAUGAGUAUGCUAUGGUUGAUCUUAUUUUUCAUUAUGAAGAAUGGCAAUCAUCCUGUCUCCAAUUCUUGCCCUUCGCUGCUUUUUGCUUCCAAGAAGCUCCUUAUGAUUGUCCAUACAUUUUUUCCAUUCUUUGAUUGUCAUGUCUCCACUUCUUUUAGAAACCCGGUAUGGACAGUUGAGAUUCGUAAGAAGACCUAG
rnacentral:rRNA from 1 species